rnacentral:rRNA from 1 species
GUAAGGAAUAUUGGUCAAUGGACGCAAGUCUGAACCAGCCAUGCCGCGUGCAGGAAGACGGCCCUACGGGUUGUAAACUGCUUUUGUACGGGAAAAAACCACCGGUCGUGAAUCGGUGCUGAUGGUACCGUAAGAAUAAGCAUCGGCUAACUCCGUGCCAGCAGCCGCGGUAAUACGGAGGAUGCAAGCGUUAUCCGGAUUCAUUGGGUUUAAAGGGUGCGCAGGCGGAAUGAUAAGUCAGUGGUGAAAUCCUACAGCUUAACUGUAGAACUGCCAUUGAUACUGUCGUUCUUGAGUACACUUGAAGUGGGCGGAAUGUGUCAUGUAGCGGUGAAAUGCUUAGAUAUGACAAGGAACACCGAUCGCGAAGGCAGCUCACUAAAGUGCAACUGACGCUCAGGCACGAAAGCGUGGGGAUCAAACAGGAUUAGAAACCCCUGUAGUCC